UCCUACGGGAGGCAGCAGUCGGGAAUUUUGCGCAAUGGGCGAAAGCCUGACGCAGCAACGCCGCGUGAGGGAUGAAGGCCUUCGGGUUGUAAACCUCUUUUCUCAGGGAAGAUUAUGACGGUACCUGAGGAAUAAGCCACGGCUAACUACGUGCCAGCAGCCGCGGUAAUACGUAGGAGGCGAGCGUUAUCCGGAUUUACUGGGCG
rnacentral:rRNA from 1 species